CUUUCGGGCCCUGGGAAGCCCUAAUCCAGUCAGAAGUGAUGCAGAUGCCCACACUGAAAACUCUUCGUUCAGCCGUGCUCAUCUACUGUUGACGGCGUGUACCGCGCACUGCCUGCAGGCCCUAAGCCGGGUUAGCACCGCACUGCAAACAUGCGCCAAGCCUUCCCUUCCAAGGCUGUACGACUUAGUUACACAGAAGCCCAAGCCAAAGCAACAUGAGAAUGGUGAUGAGAGCUCUGUCCAGAGAGACGAUGGCUGCCAGACACUAGCUCCAUGGUGGAGUCCUUGAGUAGUCGAAGAUUAGAGAGACCAUUCAUAAACCCUGAUAUGCUGCACAGAUGAAAGCUAUCAAGUGGAUUUACAGAGGAAAUAAGCUUUCUAGAAAGCACAAUGUGCUUGGGAGUACCGGUGUGCAUCCACCUCGCAUCACCAAGGAUUAGAAACUGCAGCUUCAAGGAGCUUGCAGCCCAGCAGCAACCUGAAGGCCUAAUAAAGAAUAAAACCUAAUAAAAGAUUUUGGCACUGAAAGCCCUAA